ACUGAUCCAUCUGUUAAAGUUAUUGAUGGGGCUGGACAACAGAAAGGAAUUGCCUGCACUGAUGUUGAGUUGAUUUUUCCACCAAUCUAAAGAAUUUCUCACUUGCAGAGGAAUUAUCAUCUGCCCGUUCAAGGUGUGUCUGGCUGGAGAAUAGGUCAUUCUGAGACAACACUGGAAGUAGCAGAGACAUAGCUUUGCAUGAUUGGUUAAAAAGGUGCAAGAAGCCGUGUUAUCCCAGGAGUGAAGAAAAUUCCUUAUUGUGGUCUGAGGUUUUCCCUGAAUUACCUAUACCAGACUUGACAAAGUUACAAAUCUGUCUAAGGGAAGCUGAAGACCCAACUCCUGGAACAGAGCAAGGGCUGUCUGGGUGGAAGAUAGCAUUGCUUUGGAGGAACAACCCUCGAGUAGCCAGUUGUUGAGGUACGGGAAGACUAGGACCACUUCUUGUCACAGGUGUAUGAAUGCCCAGGAAUCCUAAAGUAGACCUAUAGUCCUUCAGUGUGCGCAAGGACUCAUCCGUGUUUGCAAGGUCUCCAAGGAAAGUUUACUGCCAUUGAAAGUAAAGUCCUCAACAGUGUUCCUAACUUCUCUUGGAAAAUCUGAGUUAGCCAUGAUGCCCUGUGUAUAAAUACUGCCAUGGAGAUGGACCUGGUAGCAAUGUCAGCAGCAUUCAAGGAUGCUUGAA